rnacentral:rRNA from 1 species
GACAGAGGGGGCAAGCGUUGUCCGGAAUUACUGGGCGUAAAGCGCGCGCAGACGGCUUGAGAUGUGCCUGGUGACAGUCCGCCGCUUAACGGCGGGAGGUCUGGGUAAACACUCAAGCUAGCAGAUGGGAGAGGGGUGUGGAAUACCCGGUGGAGCGGUGAAAUGCGUAGAGAUCGGGUGGAACACCAGUGGCGAAGGCGGCACCCUGGCCCAUAAUGGACGUUGAGGCGCGACAGCGUGGGGAGCAAACGGG